ACUAUGGCUCAGAACGAACGCUGGCGGCAGGCUUAACACAUGCAAGUUGAACGGGAUUGCUAGGUGCUUGCAUCUAGCAAUGAGAGUAGCGCACUGGUGAGUAACACGUGGGAACAUGCCUUUUGGUGGGGGACAACAGAGGGAAACUUCUGCUAAUACCGCAUAAGCCCGAAAGGGGAAAGAUAUAUUGCCGAAAGAUUGGCCCGCGGAAGAUUAGGUAGUUGGUGGGGUAAAGGCCUACCAAGCCGACGAUCUAUAGCUGGUCUGAGAGGACGAACAGCCACAUUGGAACUGAGACACGGUCCAGACUCCUACGGGAGGCAGCAGUGAGGAAUAUUGGGCAAUGGAGGAAACUCUGACCCAAGCCAUGCCGCGUGAGUGAAGAAGGUUUUCGAAUUGUAAAGCUCUUUCGGAUACGAGGAUGAUGACGGUAGUAUCUAAAGAAGCCCCGGCAAACUUCGUGCCAGCAGCUGC
rnacentral:rRNA from 1 species